rnacentral:rRNA from 1 species
UACAGAGGUGGCAAGCGUUGUUCGGAAUUACUGGGCGUAAAGGGCGCGUAGGCGGCCUUCUAAGUCAGACGUGAAAUCCCCCGGCUUAACCUGGGAACUGCAGUGGAUACUGGCGAGCUAGAGUACGGUAGAGGAAGGUGGAAUUCCCGGUGUAGCGGUGAAAUGCGUAGAGAUCGGGAGGAACACCAGUGGCGAAGGCGGCCUUCUGGACCAGUACUGACGCUGAGGCACGAAAGCGUGGGGAGCAAACAGG